rnacentral:lncRNA from 1 species
UUGUGGUGCCCACCAUUCAAAUUUGAUCCCCCGCAUAGAUCCUACAUAUUCAAAAUGAACAAACGAAGUAAAUAUAAAUAUUCUUUCAAUCUUGAUAUGAGGAAGUAUGUGAAUCCAAAGUUACAAGUUCAGGAUUUAAACUUCCUGUGAAUUUCUAAGAUAAAGUACUUUUUCAUGAACUGAAGCAUGAGCCAAGCCCGAAGAAUGUGAAAGAAUUUUUCCUCGUAUAACUUGUGCAUUACUCGCAUCGGGUGAAGGAAUGUCCAUCAAUCUCUAGUAUAUCUUGAAAAUUCAAUCCAGGAUUGUUUUGCACCAAUUGACUAAAAACUGUCGCAUUUCUUGUCUCAUUUCAC